AUGGCGAAGACGGUGGUGAACAUGGCGAGGUUCAUGCUUGAGGGCGCCAUCAAAUUGGCGGCUUCGGCCGCCGCCGCCGAGAUGAGCCUCCUUAUCGGCGUCCGCAGGGACAUUCGGUCAAGCCGUUCCCUUCCCCCGCUCGAUUCAGUCCACUCCCUCGAUUCAGUCCUUCCCCGCUCCGCUCCAAUGGCGACCAGCUCCGGCGGCGACGGCGCACACGGAGUCGAUAGAAGCGGAGACGGUGCACUCAGCGGCGAGGGCGGUGGUACUACGUUAGGGCAGAAGCUGCUGCGCUCGCAAUGUGGAUUCAUCGCCCUCCACACCGAUGGCGGCUGCGACGGCGACCUAGAUCCAGAGUCGGCCACGCCGGCGGGACUGUCGCCGGAGCCUGUUACCGAGGAAGCAGCUUCGCAGAUUGGUCCCGCGGAUGUGGUCCCGGUCGCUCCAUCUUCAGCUAGUCUGAGCUAUAUUAGGCCUGAAGAUAUUGUCUUGUUAAUAUUCACUUUUCCUGGGAAGAAGUAUGCUGUUGUUAAGAUGUUUGAAAGAGAAAUCACUUAUGGUAGUUUGGUCAAUGUAAUGGUCAACAAUGGAUACUGUAAGGAUGACAGUCUUUGCUACUUGAAAGAGGAAGAUAUAGGGCUGCAAGGUGUUUGUGUCAUUAAAGGCAACAUUGAAGCAGUUCACAUGCUGAGACAAUUUGAGAGCACACAGACAUUGUCACUGAUAGUUAAGAAGGGAAAGGUAGUUAUUGAACCACCAAUUGGAGAAGAUCAAGAUGCACAACAAGUAGAUGCAGAGGCACCUGUUGGUUUUGCUGUUGCUGAAUCAGGUGUGGUGCACAAAUCAGUUCCUCCUAACUGUCAGUUACAUCUUGGGACACAGGAAAGUGUAAUUUUUUUGCCACUCAAAUCAGUUCCUCCUAACUGUCAGUUACAUCUUGGGACACAGCUUAACACCGAAGUAAGUGUCAAUUAUGCUGAUUUUCAGUUUGAUUCAGAGGAGGACAAUGCAGUUAGUGAGGAGGAAAUUCCUGUAGGCAUGGACACAGAUGAGGAGGACAAUGCAGUUAGUGAGGAAGGUUCAAGCAGUGAUGAAGAUUUUGUAGUUGAUGUUGACCACUUAGAUGCAGGAGAAGAAGAAGAUGACUCAGAUUCAGUGCAGUAUGUAGAAGAACAAAUUGCAAAUAGGAGGAAAGAGGAACCUGAGCUAGAUGAAACUAUUUCUGAAAUAAAGAGGAAGAGAGCUGAAUACAUGUCAAGUACACACUGUGAGGGGGACACAGAUCCUGAAGAUAUAUAUGACAUGGACCAGCAAGAAGAUGAUGAGGAGGCCCAAGAGAUCCCAGUUCCUGAGCCUGUUAAGAAGAAGGCAAAGAGGCUAGGUCCUACAAGUAGGUCCCACUCUAGUGCUGGUCCAACCAUUAAUCCUGAUUUGUUUCCAUCUUCAGAAGAGGAAGAUACAGGCUUUGAAGCAGAUGAUGAUGGCAAUGAACCUAUGUCCUUUGUUAUCAGCUCUGGUAGAAGGAGCAGGGCUAAGAAAAGACCACCUAGGGUCUGGUAUGAUGAGGACAGGAUGCAUCCAGAACAGCAAUUCCAGCUAAAGCUCUGUUUCAAAGAUGUUUACCAAUUCAGAGAGGCCCUUGUCAAUUUGCAUGUGAAACAACUUAGAAGAUAUAAAUAUCACAGAAACUGCAGUGAUAGGAUAAUAGUUUGUUGUGAGGGAGAUGGUUGUCAGUUCUACAUGGUAGCAGCACAGAUAAGAAACGAGCCCACUUUCUGCAUUAAGAGGAUGAGGUUGGAGCACAUAUGUCUCACCCAGUCUGAGAAAACUAGGAUUAGUUCAAGGUGGCUUGGCAACAAAAUGCUUGAAACUAUAAGAUCAGAUCCCAACACUACUGUACCUGCUAUUGUUGACAAGGCAAAGAGGCAAUUUGGGAUUGAGAUUCCUAGGAUGAUGGCAUGGAGGGCUAAGAAGAAAGCAAAAGAGAUUGUGCUUGGUCUAGAUGGCUGCUUCAUCAAAUUGACAAGUGGUGCACAGAUACUAGCAACUACUGGAAUGGAUGCAAACAACAUGUACCCCAUUGCCUUUGGAGUGGUUGGAGUUGAAGAUACAGUUAACUGGUCCUGGUUCUUGACACAACUCAAGUAUGCUCUAGGAGGAAGUGAAGAGGGCAAGUUUGGAAAGUACACAUUCAUGUCUGAUAGACAGAAGGGUCUACUCAAUGAAGUGACAGCAAUAUUCCCAAACUGCCAUCAUAGGUACUGUUUGAGGCACAUCUAUGCAAACUUCCAGAGAGCGGGAUUUGGAGGAGAGGAUUUGAAGAGAUGCAUGGAUGCAGCUACCUAUGCUUACACUGAGCAUGACUUCAAUUUGGCCAUGGAAAGCAUGAAGGCUGAGUGCACUGCUGCUUGGGAGUGGAUGUCAAGAAUUCCUGCUAAAGCUUGGUCUAGGCAUGCAAUGGAGGACACUAAUUGCAAAACUGAUUUGGUGGUGAAUAACUUGAGUGAAGUUUUUAAUAAGUACAUUCUAGACGUAAGGAACAAGCCCAUUGUCACAAUGAUCAAUGGGAUCAAGGACAAGUUCCUAGUGAGGUUCCACCUGAAAAGAGUGGGUGGAAAAUGUGCUAGAUGGGAGAUUGCACCAACCUAUGCAGAGAAGUUGGAGAUGAACAAGAAGUCUAAACAGCUGCCAGAGGAUCAUAUCAAUGUGUUCUUCAAGAAAUCUAUGUACUUGGAGGCAUAUAAGCCAGUAAUUUACCCUGUUCCUGGUCCAGAUAGCUGGGUGAAAACUCCAACACCUGACAUUGAGCCACCACAGUUCAAAGAUGACAAGAAGGGGCCAGCAGAAGAGAAAAGGAAAAAAGGGAAGUUUGAGCCACCUCAAGCAAAACAGACUUCUAGGAUGGCCACUAUAACAUGUGGGAACUGCAAGCUGCAAGGACACAAGUACACAAGUUGUCCUAAGCCAUUAAGGCCUGAUUUGCAAAUCAGGAGGAACAAGCACAUGGAAAACAGGACUGUACCUGAAUGGCACCAUGGUGCAACUUCAUCAGCUACUGGAAAUGCUAGGCCAGCACCAUCAUCAUCUACUACAAACUCCUCUCCUGCUGCUACAAGAGGUGCAAAGACUAGUGCUGGAAGGGGUGCUACGGGAAGGGGAGUAGCCUCAGCUCCUACUGCUGGAAGGGGAGCAGCCUCAUCUACUACUGCUGGAAGGGGUGCUACUUCGUCUACUGAUGCUGGAAGAGGAGCAAGGUCUGCUUCUACUCCUAGAAGGGGUGCUACUUCAUCUGCUGCUGCUGGAAGGGGAGCAAGAUCUUCCACUCCUGCUGGUGGGGGGGGGGGGCAAAAAUGUUCAAGCCUCCAAGAAGUUCUGCAGAAGCUUCUACUAGCCAGCCUACAGGCAGUAGGCCAAAGAGGACAAAGUACAUGA
rnacentral:rRNA from 1 species